UUUUAUGUUUGGUACAGUACUGGUACCUUCAAUUUUAAAAGAACCGAGGUUUGGUAUGGUACUGGUGAUUUAUAGAUAACCGAACUGUACCGAUCCGUGCUCGGCCCUAAUCUAAUCAGAAAUAGACAAAUGAGAGUUUACAAAUUCUUGAGUUCUAAUCCUAUUACCCAUCCCCACAUGCGGUACACACAACAAUUCUCAUCACACUAUCACAAGUAAUUCAAUUCAAUCAUAAAAAAAGAAUAAAGCAAUUUAAAGAAAAAAAAUUAAAAUAUCCCAACAUAGUCAAUAAUCAUCAUUUGAAGUAACCCAAAGC
rnacentral:lncRNA from 1 species